rnacentral:rRNA from 5 species
CCUGGUUGAUCCUGCCAGUAAUCAUAUGCUUGUCUCAAAGAUUAAGCCAUGCAUGUCUAAGUACAUGCCGAAAUAAGGCGAAACCGCGAAUGGCUCAUUAAAUCAGUUAUGGUUCCUUAGAUCGUUUCUUCCUACUUGGAUAACUGUGGCAAUUCUAGAGCUAAUACAUGCAGUGAGCCUGGAGCCCUUUGGGUAACGGGUGCUUUUAUUAGACCAAGAUCGAUCGGGUUUCGGCCCGUAUUGUGUGGUGACUCUGGAUAACUUUGUGCUGAUCGCAUGGCCACGAGCCGGCGACGUUUCUUUCAAGUGUCUGCCUUAUCAACUUUCGAUGGUAGGUUACUUGCUUACCAUGGUUGUUACGGGUAACGGAGAAUCAGGGUUCGAUUCCGGAGAGGGAGCCUGAGAAACGGCUACCACAUCCAAGGAAGGCAGCAGGCGCGCAAAUUACCCACUCCCGGCACGGGGAGGUAGUGACGAAAAAUAACAAUACGGGACUCUUUUGAGGCCCCGUAAUUGAAAUGAGUACACUCUAAAUCCUUUAACGAGGAUCAAUUGGAGGGCAAGUCUGGUGCCAGCAGCCGCGGUAAUUCCAGCUCCAAUAGCGUAUACUAAAGCUGCUGCGGUUAAAAAGCUCGUAGUUGGAUCUCAGUUCCAGACGAGUAGUGCAUCUACCCGAUGCGACGGCUCGGACUGAACAUCAUGCCGGUUCUUUCUUGGUGCACUUCAUUGUGUGCCUCGAGAUGGCCGGUGCUUUUACUUUGAAAAAAUUAGAGUGCUCAACGCAGGCGAGUCGCCUGAAUAAACUUGCAUGGAAUAAUAGAACAAGACCUCGUUUCUGUUCUGUUGGUUUUUGGAAUACGAGGUAAUGAUUAAGAGGGACGGACGGGGGCAUUCGUAUUGCGGCGCUAGAGGUGAAAUUCUUGGACCGUCGCAAGACGAACUACUGCGAAAGCAUUUGCCAAGAAUGUUUUCAUUGAUCAAGAACGAAAGUCAGAGGUUCGAAGGCGAUCAGAUACCGCCCUAGUUCUGACCAUAAACGAUGCCAACCAGCGAUCCGCCUGAGUUACUCAAAUGACUCGGCGGGCAGCUUCCGGGAAACCAAAGUAUUUGGGUUCCGGGGGAAGUAUGGUUGCAAAGCUGAAACUUAAAGGAAUUGACGGAAGGGCACCACCAGGAGUGGAGCCUGCGGCUUAAUUUGACUCAACACGGGAAAACUUACCCGGCCCGGACACUGGGAGGAUUGACAGAUUGAGAGCUCUUUCUUGAUUCGGUGGAUGGUGGUGCAUGGCCGUUCUUAGUUGGUGGAGCGAUUUGUCUGGUUAAUUCCGAUAACGAACGAGACUCUAGCCUAUUAAAUAGGUGCGGGGUUCCCAGCACCUUACAACCUUCUUAGAGGGACAAGCGGCUCCUAGCCGCACGAAACAGAGCAAUAACAGGUCUGUGAUGCCCUUAGAUGUCCGGGGCCGCACGCGCGCUACACUGAAGGAAGCAGCGUGUCUUUAUCCCUGUCUGAAAAGACUGGGUAACCCGUGGAACUUCUUUCGUGAUUGGGAUAGGGGCUUGCAAUUGUUCCCCUUGAACGAGGAAUUCCCAGUAAGCGCGAGUCAUAAGCUCGCGUUGAUUACGUCCCUGCCCUUUGUACACACCGCCCGUCGCUACUACCGAUUGAAUGAUUUAGUGAGGUCUUCGGACCGAUGUCCGGCGCGGCCUUUCGGUUGCGCCGGUCUGUUGGAAAGAUGACCAAACUUGAUCAUUUAGAGGAAGUAAAAGUCGUAACAAGGUUUCCGUAGGUGAACCUGCGGAAG